GGAUAGCUCAGCUGGUUAGAGCAUGGUGCUGAUAACACAAAGGUCGCAGGUUCGAUCCCCCUGUGGGAUAGCUGCA